rnacentral:sRNA from 1 species
UGCUCUCCUACCGCCUUACGCAGGUCCU